CAGAGGUCUCAAGCGUUGUUCGGAUUCAUUGGGCGUAAAGGGUGCGUAGGUGGUGGGGUAAGUCAGGUGUGAAAUCUCGGGGCUCAACCCCGAAACUGCACUUGGUACUGCCUUACUGGAGUACUGGAGAGGAGAUUGGAAUUUACGGUGUAGCAGUGAAAUGCGUAGAUAUCGUAAGGAAGACCAGUGGCGAAGGCGAAUCUCUGGACAGUUACUGACACUGAGGCACGAAGGCCAGGGGAGCAAACGGGAUUAGAUACCCCGGUAGUCCUGGCAGUAAACGGUGCGCGUUUGGUGUGGGAGGAUUCGACCCCUUCUGUGCCGGAGCUAACGCGUUAAACGCGCCGCCUGGGGAGUACGGUCGCAAGAUUA
rnacentral:rRNA from 1 species